AUUGCCGGUCCUUUUCGAGUUGCAUGUCAACGAAAAUCCAAAUUGAACAGAUCUGGAAUUUCAAUUCAACAUCAUCACUACGUCCUCGACUGAUUCGCCAUAUAUUUGGGUAUAGUAAAAACAUAUCUAAACUGCGGUACGUAUUUACGUUCAAUUAUUUUUCAUUAAUUUGACAGCUUAACAUUUUUCUUCAUGGGUUUUACAAGGCGACUCGCUUCAUCUCUACCGCCAUAUUGUACACGCCGUGUAUGGCAUCAUGGAAAAAUGGGACGAGGUUCCACCCUAUUUUUGACGGGCUAGUAUGGAUAAACCUAGAGUCUACGAAUGAUGCGAAGUUGAUCGUUCGGAUCUAAAAUAGCUAUAUUUAGCGUAUCUCACGUGAUUAGGCACAUUCCAGAAAAUCCCUUUGAGAUUGAAGCGAUUAAGCAGAGCGAGUGUAUGUAAACAUUUAUUUAACGGUGAAAUACGCAACAAAGAGUGACAUAUUAAUACAUUUUAUGCAUGAAUAAAUUAUUCUGAGGUCAAACAUGGACGAUAAUUGCCCGUGUUCAUAUAGUAAUUGAUUGAUUUAGAUAUCCAAGGAAAGAUAACUCCCAUUAUUAACGUACUCACAACGUACCGGUGGUAUACAAUAAUACAAUGUUUAUACAUUUCUGAAUGAUGAGUGAAUCUUUAUUUUCAUCAGAAUCUUUUCCAUCACACUCACAGACCAGGUCCCCAUACCCCUACCAGUGUCAAUCUGUGACUGAUAGCAGUGCGGUAUUUAAUUUGAUAUAGUCUAGAGGAAAUUCGAAAUAUGGUAGUGACAUUUCUUCCUCACUGAAUUAGCUAGAUUUUUAUCAUUUAAAGAAAAGUGGGGUAUGGACUGGGGGAUUAAAAAUGCUAUUUGCCAAAUUUUCAACAAUAUUAAUUACAAGGCAAGGCAAAAGGGGUCAUAAGCUACAGUACAGAUGAUGCAAUUUUCACUUGCAAGUUGCACUGCCACUAGUUACACUUAAACUUACUUACAGAUAAAUAAAGUAACUUACAAAUAUUUUAUUUAUUUAUCUAUCUAUCAUUUCAUUUCAUUUUUUUUAAUAUCAUGGUUUGUACUUGAAGAAUCAUCGCAAUAAAGGGACAUUAAUUAUUAGUGUUACAAAAAAAUCUGAUCAUGCAGUUUUUAAAUUUCUGAAUUUUGAAAAAAUAAAAAUAAAUAAAUAAUAGAUUCUGAUACCACUCAGCCCCCCGACUGGCCAGAGAGUUCUGCUUCUGUCAGUUCUGAUGUAACUAGCUCAGCCCCCAGACUGGCCAGAGAGUCCACUGUUUCGGUAAAUUCUGAUAAUGAUGCAACUCAGCCCCCCCACCCCCGACAGCUCUACCAGAAGUUCUCGGAAAAGACUUGCUGAUGUUUAAUAAAUCAGUUUUCCUAUUAAUUUUACUUUUGCUCCUGUUCAUUAGGCUAUGGCCCAAUCUGAUUAAAUUUAAGAUCGUUGAUCCGCUCCGUACGUAUUCCUCUUCCUCUCCUGUAUUUGUGAAGUCCAGAGGUGAGAUAUAUUCUUUCCAAACAACUAAGAAUGUUCAUGGAACAAUUUAGUAUUAAUUGUUUUCCUUUUCUGUUGUAUGCCUUAUUUCAAGAAAUAACUUUCAGGUCACUUUUUAAUGUGAAAUGGAACAUUUUCAAUUUUUGACAACCUGACGGUAGGGGUGUUUAAGACACUAUACCUCAUUUUCUGUAAGGAAGUGGAGUAAAAGGAAUUCAGAAUUGGAUUCAGCAUACUCAAAAUUGGUAAUUACACCUGCUUUUUAUUGUUUUGGGUAAUGGUGUUUCAAGAAAUAAAGUUGGGUCACUUUUUGAUGCGAAAUGAAACAUUUUACGUUUUUGGCAACCUGACGGUAGCGGUGUUUAAGACACUAUACCUCAUUUUCUAUAAGAAAUUGGAGUAAAAGGAAUCCAGAUUUGAAAUCAGCAUACUCAAAAUUGGUAAUUACACCUGAUUUUUAUUGUUUUGGGUAAUUUUUGAAAAAUGGGUGGUGGUUGCUACUCUUAAGGGUUGCUAUUCUAUUCCCAUACAUCUACUGUAAUAUUUAAGCAUUAAUUUUGUUUAUUUUUAAACUUAUCUGUAAGAUCGUAAUCUUUAUAUUUAGGCCUACUUAGCUAACCCGACAACACGUGCUGAUUCAUAUUAUUCCUCUGAUAAUAUUGUUCAACUUCGUAGAAAAUGUUACGACGUACCAAGCGCCCAUCUAAAUCGCCUUACGCUAGACCGGCACAACAUCCCAGCUCUUCGGUCAUUGCCCACACAGAAUCUGACCCCUGCAAUUCCAACCCGAAUUCAGCCCCGUCCGACAUCAAGUCAACCCCAAGAGGAGAACCAGAUGGGCAUAUAGGACACAGCUAUCAUUUAAUCACAAAGGUAGCCUCCCAGCCUAAUCGCGGAAACCACUGCACCCACACAGCCACCGGCGACACCCUUCAUAACAGUGCCACAGGAAAGUGAUGAUGCAAACUUGCAGAAGGAUUCCUCACAAUCAUCCCAUUCAAGAAAAGAUUUGUCCACGUCAACCUCCAGCACUGCCACGCACACGGCUACUUCUGUAAGAAAAGGUAAAAAGCCUAUGCCAGGAAGUCAAGCCACAGUAAAAUCAAGACUUCUUGAAAUGGCCGAAAAGGAACAUGAACAAAAAAUGAAAAAUUUGAAAUUGAAGGAAAACAUUUUGAUAUUGAAGAAACAGAAACUUGAAAAUGAAAUGAUGCAAAGCAGAUCAAAUAAUAAUGCAAAUGCUGCUGCAUGCAAUGAUGUAAACAAUUUUGCUGGUGUUUGGUAUAAAAAAUGUGUAAUUAAAUCAUCUUUGUCCAAUUUAUUAUGAAUUUUGUCCAGUUUAUUUUGAAUUUGUAUAUGUCUUGAUUUGUGCAAAAACAAAAACAAAAAUUAAAAAUUUCUACCUACAUGCAUAACGCAUUUCUAUUUCCCGCAAACCUUCAAACUUGGUCAUAUUUAUGUAUUGCAGCUAACAGGUUUAGCCCAUUUUUUUUCUAGUCAACUCGUACCCAAAAUGCAAAAGUCAACUCGUACCCAAGAAUCUGCCCAUAAUGCAAUAUAUCUAUGCACAUAUAAGUGACAUAUCGCUUAGGUACGAGUUGUCAUCAAUUGAAGAGGAGGAGUCAACUCGUAACCAGAUUCUUGGGUACGAGUUGACUUUUGCAUUUUUGGUACGAGUUGACCUAUUGAUACGAAUGGACCUGGGUACGAGUCGGUCAGGGUACGAGUUGACUUGACUCCGCCCAGAUAAAUAAUUUCCUAAAUAUAAACAUGGCCUUUUUUUAUGCACCACCUUUGAUAUUUAGUAGUAUUCUUAACAUAUAUCUAUUGGCUGGGCUACCGUUUUGUCAUGUCAUGUGAUUAGUCAUAUUUGUGUCAUGUGACUAGUCAGCAUGUUUUUGGUUGUAUGUUUUACACUUUAACUAGUCAAUUUGUAGUAUUGCUAUAUUUUGUUUUUUAAGCCCAGCCAAUUAAUUGUCAUGUAUUUGUCAUUUGUUAGAUUUAAUAAAUGACAUUGUCACAUGA